UACGUAGGGCGCAAGCGUUGUCCGGAAUUAUUGGGCGUAAAGGGCUCGUAGGCGGUCCAUCGCGUCGGGAGUGAAAAGCUGGGGCUUAACCCCAGUCCUGCUUCCGAUACUGCCCGGACUAGAGUUCGGAAGAGGCGAGUGGAAUUCCCGGUGUAGCGGUGAAAUGCGCAGAUAUCAGGAGGAACACCGGUGGCGAAGGCGGGUCUCUGGGCCGAUACUGACGCUGAGGAGCGAAAGCGUGGGGAGCGAACAGG
rnacentral:rRNA from 1 species